ACAGAGGGGGCAAGCGUUGCUCGGAAUCACUGGGCGUAAAGGGCGCGUAGGCGGGAUGGCAAGUCAGUCGUGAAAUCUCUCGGCUCAACCGAGAAACGUCGGCUGAUACUGCCGUUCUUGAGGGAUGCAGAGGAGACUGGAAUUCCCGGUGUAGCGGUGGAAUGCGUAGAGAUCCGGAAGAACACCGGUGGCGAAGGCGGCCUGCUGGGCAGUGGCUGACGCUGAGGCGCGACAGCGUGGGGAGCAAACAGGA
rnacentral:rRNA from 1 species